AUCCCCCAAAUUUCACUGAAAUUCCCCCAAAUUUUCACCUCAAACUUCCCCAAAUUUCCAUCGCAAAUCCCUCCAAAUUUCACUGAAACUCCCCCAAAUUUCACCGAAAUUUUCCCAAGUUUCCCUGAAUUUCUCCCCCAAACCCCCAAAUUUCCAUCCGAACCCCCAAAUCUCCCCAUUUUUCCCCCAUUCCCAGCCUGCACCCCGCGCUGCCGCUCCUGGCCACGGCCUCGGGCCAGCGCCUGUUCCCGGCGCCGUGGGACAGCGACGGGGACGGGGACAGCGAGGGGACACCGGCGCCGGGCGGGGACAUCCGGCUGCAGCUCUGGUGGUGGGGACACGAGGACACCGACGGGGACACCCCUGGGGACAGCGGGACUGGCAAUUGUCACACCCCUGGGGACACCGAUUGUCACCUCUCUGGGGACACUGGGACUGGCGAUUGUCGCCUCCCCACUGGGACUGGUGAUUGUCACCUCCCUGGUGUGGAGUGACACUGUCACCUCCCUGGGGACAAUAGGACUGGUCAUUGUCACCUCCCCGAGGAUGUCAAAUGUCACCUCCUUGGGGACACCUGGACCAGCCAUUGUCACCUCUCUGGAGACACUGGGACCUGAGAUUGUCCCCUCCCUGGGGACACUGAGUGUCACAUCCCUGGGGACAUUGGGACUGGAGACUGUCACCUCCCCGGGACACUGUGACCACUGACUGUCACCUCCUUGGGGACUCUUGGACUGGACAUUGUCACCCACCCCAGGGACAGUGACUGUCACCCUUGGGGACCCCUGGAGGGUCACAGCCACCCUGGAGACCCCAAGUGUCCCCCCCAGACCUCGGUUGUACUAAAGCCGUUGUGACUGUCACCCUCUGUCACCCCUGUGGCUGUCACGGGUGGGGGCGUGGCCAGACCUGCCCCGCCCCUGCCUCCCAAACUCCCCCAGGUGCCCCAGAAACUUCCCCACCCCCUCGGUGGUCCCCACCCUCCAAUUCUGGCGUUGCCCCUUUAAGAGACCCCCCACAAAGGGGCAGGGCCCGUCCGGAAGCAGCUUCGCUGUCACCAUGGCAACGGUGGGGGUUGUGGUGUUGCCAUGGAAAUCAGUCUGGUGCUGCUGGCCACGCCCCCGUCCCGAGGCCACGCCCACAGCAUGGUCAGAUAUGUGGGUGCGGCCAUGUUAACUUUUGACCAUGCCCCUUCCAAAAGACCACGCCCCAUUUUAAGUGCUUGCCCAUGCUAAUUGCACUAAGCCACGCCCCCAAGUACACACCCCCAUCCCCAAAUCAACGCCUUUUAAAUAUUCAAAUAUUCAAACCAUGCCCACCUUUUCAGGCCCACAUGUCUACCUAAUAACGACCACACCCAUCCGUGACCACGCCCCUUUACCAACCCCACCCAUCGACUCCCCUUCACUACGCUGCCACGCCCUCUCACGAGGCCCCUCCCCUUCUCUAAACCACGCCUUUCACUCACAUACCACGCCCCUUUGAGGCCCCGCCCCUCCGAAGCCCCGCCCCUCCUCCGGCGCGGUCGCAGCCGGGGCGGCCCCGCGGAGUCCCGGGUUCGAGUCCGGGUCUGGCUCCGGGGGGUCCCGGGUUCGAGUCCGGGGGCGGCUCCCGGGGGUCCCGCGGGGGUCGCGGCCCCCGGGGGCGGGGGGCGAUGGCGGGGCGCGCGGCCGCGCUGCUCGUGGCCGUGCUGGGCGCGGGGGCCGCG
rnacentral:lncRNA from 1 species